rnacentral:rRNA from 1 species
UAAUAAGUUACAAAGGGCUUAUGGUGGAUGCCUUGGGACUGAUUGACGAAGAAGGUCGUGCCAAUCUGCGAUAAGGUACGGGGAGCCGAUAAG